GCUCUUAUGAUCGAACCUAUCUGAGACCCCUGAUAAUCUGUCUCAAUACCCAGCAAAGAAUAAAUCCCAACACUAAUGUAAAUGUAAAAAUAUGCUGAAUCUUAUAAUUUAGCAGACCUAUUGCUACAGACAUCUGUGAACAGGCUGCAAGGCAUCCUAUGGAAAAAUAAUGCUUCUUAAACCAGGGUCAUAUUAUUAAACCCCUAGCGUAACAGUUUAGACAUAUAAUGCCACUCCC